UCGGCAGCGCAAAAGCGGGCCGAUGAUCAGAGCGGAGGCGCAGGUUUCCGACGCGUCUCCAUCCCAUGUUGCUUUACGGAGGAUAUGGCUAUGAGAA
rnacentral:sRNA from 1 species